rnacentral:rRNA from 1 species
CCUACGGGAGGCUGCAGUGGGGAAUAUUGCACAAUGGGGGGAACACUGAUGCAGCAAUGCCGCGUGGGUGAAGAAGCACUCCGGUGCGUAAAGCCCUGUCAGCAGGGAAGAAAAUGACAGUACCUGGACAAGAAGCCCCGGGUAACUACGUGCCAGCAGGCGCGGUAAUACGUAGGGGGCAAGCGUUAUCCGGAUUUACUGGGUGUAAAGGGAGCGCAGGCGGCGUGGCAAGUCAGAUGUGAAAACCCGGGGCCCAACCCCGGGAGGGCAGCGCGAACUGGCGUGCUUGAGUCCGCGGAAAGCAGGCGGAAUGCGUGGUGUAGCGGUGAAAUGCUUAGAUAUGACGAAGAACCCCGAUUGCGAAGGCAGCUUGCUGCAGCGGAACUGACGCUGAUGCUCGAAAGCGCGGGUAUCGAACAGGAUUAGAUACCCUAGUAGUC